rnacentral:rRNA from 1 species
UACGUAGGGGGCAAGCGUUGUCCGGAUUUACUGGGCGGAAAGGGCGUGCAGGCGGUUUGUUAAGUGCAGGGUGAAAGCUCCCGGCUCAACUGGGAGAGGUCCUUGCAUACUGGCGAACUCGAGGGAGGCAGAGGAAAGUGGAAUUCCCGGUGUAGUGGUGAUAUGCGUAGAUAUCGGGAGGAACACCUGUGGCGAAGGCGGGUCUCUGGACAGUUCCUGACGCUGAGGCACGAAGGUCAGGGGAGCAAACGGG